rnacentral:rRNA from 1 species
CAGUCGCCGCGGGAAUACAUAGGGUGCGAGCGUUAAUCGGAAUUACUGGGCGUAAAGCGUGCGCAGGCGGUUAUGUAAGACAGGUGUGAAAUCCCCGGGCUUAACCUGGGAACUGCGCUUGUGACUGCACAGCUAGAGUAUGGCAGAGGGGGGUGGAAUUCCACGUGUAGCAGUGAAAUGCGUAGAGAUGUGGAGGAACACCGAUGGCGAAGGCAGCCCCCUGGGCCAAUACUGACGCUCAUGCACGAAAGCGUGGGGAGCAAACAGGAUUAGAUACCCCCGUAGUCCCUGUCUCUUAUAC